AAGCUGCACUCGAAACCUCGACAAAUUCAUUUUUAGAGAAGGAGAAAGAUCUUGAGGAUAAAAUUGAAGAGUUAGAAAGAAGAUUGGAAGAACUCAGUCAAAAUAGUGCUAGUUUUUAUGAAUAUCAAUUCCAAAAGUACAAAUAUGGUCAAUUACUCUAGGUAGCAGUGGGAAAAGGCAGAGUUAUCUGUCAACCAUCUCAACAAGACUAGUAUUGCAGAGAUUGAAUCUACUGUAAAGGCAAAAAUUUGUGCGAGCCAUGGUGUAUAUGAAGAAUUUGUCUCUAGAUCCUCAUCCAUUAAUGCAGAAUACGAAGUUAAAGCCUGUGACACAUCGGCAGCUGUGAAGGUUAAUUAAAUCCCUAUAU